GAUACGCUGGCGGCGUGCUUACACAUCGCCAGUCGUAACGAACCUUCGGGUUAGUGGCGGACGGGUGAGUAACGCGUGAGAAUCUGCCCUCAGGAGGGGGACCACAGCUGGAAACGGCUGCUAAUACCCCAUAUGCCGCGAGGUGAAAUGAAUUUCGCCUGAGGAUGAGCUCGCGUCUGAUUAGCUAGUUGGUGUAGGUAACGGCUCACCAAGGCAUCGAUCAGUAGCUGGUCUGAGAGGAUGAUCAGCCACACUGGGACUGAGACACGGCCCAGACUCCUACGGGAGGCAGCAGUGGGGAAUUUUCCGCAAUGGGCGAAAGCCUGACGGAGCAACGCCGCGUGAGGGAUGAAGGCCUCUGGGCUGUAAACCUCUUUUAUCAAGGAAGAAGAUCUGACGGUACUUGAUGAAUAAGCCACGGCUAAUUCCGUGCCAGCAGCCGCGGUAAUACGGGAGUGGCAAGCGUUAUCCGGAAUUAUUGGGCGUAAAGACGUCCGCCAGGCGGCACCUUCAAGUCUGCUGUUAAAAAGUGGAGCUUAACUCCAUCAUGGCAGUGGAAACUGUUGGGCUUGAGUGUGGUAGAGGGCAGAGGGAAUUCCCGGUGUAGCGGUGAAAUGCGUAAGAUAUCGGGAAGAACACCAGUGGCGAAGGCGCUCUGCUGGGCCCAUCACUG
rnacentral:rRNA from 1 species